GCCGGGUGUGGUGGCGUGCGCCUGUAGUCCCAGCUACUUGGAAGGCUGAGGCAGGAGAAUCGCUUGAACCCAGGAGGCAGGGGUUGCAGUGAGCCGAGAUUGCACCACUGCAGUCCAGCCUGGGCAGUAGAGCGAGACUCUGUCUCAA
rnacentral:SRP_RNA from 1 species